rnacentral:rRNA from 1 species
GUGGGGAAUAUUGGACAAUGGGCGAAAGCCUGAUCCAGCCAUGCCGCGUGUGUGAAGAAGGUCUUCGGAUUGUAAAGCACUUUAAGUUGGGAGGAAGGGUAGUAACCUAAUACGUUGCUACUUUGACGUUACCGACAGAAUAAGCACCGGCUAACUUCGUGCCAGCAGCCGCGGUAAUACGAAGGGUGCAAGCGUUAAUCGGAAUUACUGGGCGUAAAGCGCGCGUAGGUGGUUUUGUAAGUUGGAGGUGAAAUCCCCGGGCUCAACCUGGGAACUGCCUCAAAAACUGCAUGACUAGAGUACGGUAGAGGGUAGUGGAAUUUCCUGUGUAGCGGUGAAAUGCGUAGAUAUAGGAAGGAACACCAGUGGCGAAGGCGACUACCUGGACUGAUACUGACACUGAGGUGCGAAAGCGUGGGGAGCAAACAGGAUUAGAAACCCUUGUAGUCC